rnacentral:miRNA from 1 species
UCAUGUCUCUUGUUUUGUUUACU